rnacentral:rRNA from 1 species
UACGUAGGGGGCUAGCGUUGUCCGGAUUUAUUGGGCGUAAAGAGCUCGUAGGCGGUUUGUCGCGUCUGCUGUGAAAACCCGAGGCUCAACCUCGGGCCUGCAGUGGGUACGGGCAGACUAGAGUGCGGUAGGGGAGAUUGGAAUUCCUGGUGUAGCGGUGGAAUGCGCAGAUAUCAGGAGGAACACCGAUGGCGAAGGCAGGUCUCUGGGCCGAUACUGACGCUGAGACGCGAAAGCUAGGGGAGCGAACAGG